rnacentral:rRNA from 1 species
UACGAAGGGACCUAGCGUAGUUCGGAAUUACUGGGCUUAAAGAGUUCGUAGGUGGUUGAAAAAGUUAGUGGUGAAAUCCCAGAGCUUAACUCUGGAACUGCCAUUAAAACUUUUCAGCUAGAGUAUGAUAGAGGAAAGCAGAAUUUCUAGUGUAGAGGUGAAAUUCGUAGAUAUUAGAAAGAAUACCAAUUGCGAAGGCAGCUUUCUGGAUCAUAACUGACGCUGAGGAACGAAAGCAUGGGUAGCGAAGAGG